UACAGAGGUCUCAAGCGUUGUUCGGAUUCAUUGGGCGUAAAGGGUGCGUAGGCGGCGUGGUAAGUCGGGUGUGAAAUCUUGGAGCUUAACUCCGAAACUGCAUUCGAUACUGCCGUGCUUGAGGACUGGAGAGGAGACUGGAAUUUACGGUGUAGCGGUGAAAUGCGUAGAUAUCGUAAGGAAGACCAGGGGCGAAGGCGGGUCUCUGGACAGUUCCUGACGCUGAGGCACGAAGGGCAGGGGAGCAAACGGG
rnacentral:rRNA from 1 species